rnacentral:rRNA from 1 species
CAGUCUCAGGCGGGCAGUUUGACUGGGGCGGUCGCCUCCGAAAGAGUAACGGAGGCGCCCAAAGGUUCCCUCAGCGCGGACGGAAACCGCGCGAAGAGUGCAAAGGCAGAAGGGAGCUUGACUGCGAGACGGACAGGUCGAGCAGGGACGAAAGUCGGGCUUAGUGAUCCGGUGGUAGAGAGUGGAAUUGCCAUCGCUCAACGGAUAAAAGCUACCCUGGGGAUAACAGGCUUAUCUCUCCCAAGAGUCCAUAUCGACGGGAGGUUUGGCACCUCGAUGUCGGCUCAUCACAUCCUGGGGCUGAAGUAGGUCCCAAGGGUUGGGCUGUUCGCCCAUUAAAGUGGUACGCGAGCUGGGUUCAGAACGUCGUGAGACAGUUCGGUCCCUAUCCAUCGCGGGCGUAAGAAACUUGAAAGGGGCUGCUCCUKAGUACGAGAGGACCGGAGUGGACCGACCAAUGGUGUACCAGUCAUGGCGCCAGCCGUGCAGCUGGGUAGCUACGUCGGGGACGGAUAAACGCUGAAAGCAUCUAAGCGUGAAACCAGCCUAGAGAUGAGGUUUCUCAUUACAUCUGA